CAAGAGUAGGCUGAGGAGCCCUUUUAUAAAUCACAAUAUCACAGAGCAUGUGUGUUCAAGGUUUUUGUAGUGAAGUAAUGUAAGAAAAACUAAAUUACGAACUCUUAUCAAUACUUCAAAAAUAAAAAUAGUUUAAUGGGAUAUACUUGAAGUAUUAAACCCAAAACAUUGUUCCACUGAACUGCAAAAGACAAGCUAGCCCAUUCCAAUCUGCUUAAUUGUUUUAGUGCUGGCACCGUGCGUGGUGCUGUACAGUCACAAAAAUAGUUGCUUCCUUAUUUAAAUAAGUUGUAAUUUUUUUUCCAAAACAAAUGUCUUCAAAUUUUAUUUCUUCUGGACUAUGCAUGUUUGAAGUUUAAAGUUAUAAAAGAAAGCUGCUUUUGCCAUCCAAGCAUAAAAUUGUGUCUGAAAAACUUUUCUUCCCUCUUUCAUAUUUGAAAAAAUCCAAAAUGGCUGAAAUGAUUUUUAUAAAAAAGGUUUAAAAAGGAGUUCCGUGCAGAGUCUCCAAAUGAGAAAUUCGAUCCCUAAAGCUUUUUUUUAAGUUAUAACUGAGAAUAAUGGUUUAGAAUGAAAAUAUCAGCCCAGCCAAUAAUACAGCAUUAGCAUCAAACUACCGUAUUACUUUGUUCCUGAGUUCCAUUUUUUAAAAUUCUCAUGUCACCCUGUUUUUCUUUAUUAAGGCUCCAACCUUGCAAAGACUUAAAAGCAUGCUUAACUUUGAACAGACCCUUUGAAUCCAAUGGAACUGCUCAAAAAGUUAUGUGCUUGAGUUUUGACACAACUGAGAGGCAGAGAAGGGAGUCCCUGGAGGUGCUUGUCAGUCAGCAGCACGAUGACUGGGUGAGAAAGAAGAGUGCCCUUUUGGAAGCCUAAAAGAAGAGAUUUGUUAUACCCAAAACAGGGAGUGUGAAGAGACAGAGACAAGUGGCCCUACUCACUUAAGGAUGGGAAGCUGUAAAAUGUACAGUGGAAGUGUAAUAAAUUAAUGCAUUGUAAAUUAGUGGCAUAGGAAAAUGUUUUUGCACAUGAAUGUCAACAUUGACAAUUGGAUAGAUUUUUACUUGUGUCUUGCAUCCAUUGAAAAUGAGAAGAACUCAAUGACAGCAGUACAUAAAACUGUAUAGAUAUGUUUCCUGAGGUUUCCAUUUUUCUUGUCUCCAGUCUUUAUUCCUUCAUUCCCUCCUCACUUAGAUAGCUGGAGUUUCUGCUUACUAGGCUGGGAAGUCUUCACUUGUAUAUCUUCUGCUUGUCAGUAGCAUUUCUCAGGCUGCAUUAUGCUGUUUCUUGAUUUCCUGGCAUGUUAGGACCACUGGCUGCUUUUGUGUUAGAGAGAUGGCACCUUCCCCAACAAACUGUCAUGACAGUUGUGACACCAACUUUCUAAAUAGGCAAGAAAGCAAACUGAUCAAAGUAAAGCUUUCCAGGAAUUGAAGUAAAUGGCUGACUGAAUAUUAAACAAUAGCUGGCAUCUAAACAAUGAACAUUGUGGAAGCUGAUCUUCUUUGCAAAAAAAUCUGCAGAAAAAAAUCAUACCAUGGACAAAGCAAAAUAUUCAACAAUUGGAAUUCCUGAAACUGUAAUCUCAUUCUGUUGGUUGACGUUUUUUAGAAUUAAUGAUUUCUUAUUACCAAGCAAAGUCAACACCAAAUAUAUGGGAAAAAAGACUCUCACAAAAACAGAUUU